UCCGGUUUGGCACCGGCAGUCUCUCAUGAGUCCCCGACGUUACUCGCUGGCAACAUGAGACAGGGGUUGCGCUCGUUGCGCCACUUAAGGCAACACCUCACGGCACGAGCUGACGACAGCCAUGCACCACCUGUGCGGGCUCCGAAGAGCGCCGUGUUUCCACGUCUUCACCCCGCAUGUCAAGUCCUGGUAAGGUUCUUCGCGUUGCGUCGAAUUAAGCCACAUACUCCACCGCUUGUGCAGGCCCCCGUCAAUUUCUUUGAGUUUCAGCCUUGCGGCCGUACUCCCCAGGCGGGGCACUUAAUGCGUUAGCGCCGGCACUCAGGGGGUCGCUCCCCCAAGCACCUAGUGCCCAUCGUUUACGGCGUGGACUAC
rnacentral:misc_RNA from 1 species